GAUGAACGCUGGCGGCGUGCCUAAUACAUGCAAGUCGAGCGAACGGACGAGGAGCUUGCUCCUCUGACGUUAGCGGCGGACGGGUGAGUAACACGUGGAUAACCUACCUAUAAGACUGGGAUAACUUCGGGAAACCGGAGCUAAUACCGGAUAAUAUAUUGAACCGCAUGGUUCAAAAGUGAAAGACGGUUUUGCUGUCACUUAUAGAUGGAUCCGCGCUGCAUUAGCUAGUUGGUAAGGUAACGGCUUACCAAGGCAACGAUGCGUAGCCGACCUGAGAGGGUGAUCGGCCACACUGGAACUGAGACACGGUCCAGACUCCUACGGGAGGCAGCAGUAGGGAAUCUUCCGCAAUGGGCGAAAGCCUGACGGAGCAACGCCGCGUGAGUGAUGAAGGUCUUCGGAUCGUAAAACUCUGUUAUUAGGGAAGAACAAAUGUGUAAGUAACUGUGCACAUCUUGACGGUACCUAAUCAGAAAGCCACGGCUAACUACGUG
rnacentral:rRNA from 1 species